GCUGGCGGCGUGCCUAACACAUGCAAGUCGAACGAGAAAGUGGAGCAAUCCAUGAGUAAAGUGGCGACCGGGUGAGUAACACGUGACUAACCUACCCCCGAGUGGGGAAUAACUCCGGGAAACCGGGGCUAAUACCGCAUAACAUCGCAAGAUCAAAGCAGCAAUGCGCUUGAGGAGGGGGUCGCGGCUGAUUAGCUAGUUGGCGGGGUAACGGCCCACCAAGGCGAAGAUCGGUAUCCGGCCUGAGAGGGCGCACGGACACACUGGAACUGAAACACGGUCCAGACUCCUACGGGAGGCAGCAGUGGGGAAUUUUGCGCAAUGGGGGAAACCCUGACGCAGCAACGCCGCGUGGAGGAUGAAGCCCUUUGGGGCGUAAACUCCUUUCGACUCGGACGAUAAUGACGGUACGAGUGGAAGAAGCACCGGCUAACUCUGUGCCAGCAGCCGCGGUAAUACAGAGGGUGCGAGCGUUGUUCGGAAUUAUUGGGCGUAAAGGGCGCGUANGCGGUGCGGUAAGUCACCUGUGAAAUCUCCUGGCUUAACUGGGAGCCUGCAGGCGAAACUACCGUGCUGGAGUGUG
rnacentral:rRNA from 1 species